rnacentral:rRNA from 1 species
AUUGAACGCUGGCGGCAUGCCUUACACAUGCGAGUCGAACGGCAGCAUGAUCUAGCUUGCUAGAUUGAUGGCGAGUGGCGAACGGGUGAGUAAUACAUCGGAACGUGCCCUGUAGUGGGGGAUAACUAGUCGAAAGAUUAGCUAAUACCGCAUACGACCUGAGGGUGAAAGUGGGGGACCGCAAGGCCUCAUGCUAUAGGAGCGGCCGAUGUCUGAUUAGCUAGUUGGUGAGGUAAAGGCUCACCAAGGCGACGAUCAGUAGCUGGUCUGAGAGGACGAUCAGCCACACUGGGACUGAGACACGGCCCAGACUCCUACGGGAGGCAGCAGUGGGGAAUUUUGGACAAUGGGCGAAAGCCUGAUCCAGCAAUGCCGCGUGUGUGAAGAAGGCCUUCGGGUUGUAAAGCACUUUUGUCCGGAAAGAAAUGGCUCUGGUUAAUACCUGGGGUCGAUGACGGUACCGGAAGAAUAAGGACCGGCUAACUACGUG